CGUAGGGUGCGAGCGUUAAUCGGAAUUACUGGGCGUAAAGCGUGCGCAGGCGGUUUUGUAAGACAGAUGUGAAAUCCCCGGGCUCAACCUGGGACCUGCAUUUGUGACUGCAAGGCUAGAGUACGGUAGAGGGGGAUGGAAUUCCGCGUGUAGCAGUGAAAUGCGUAGAUAUGCGGAGGAACGCCGAUGGCGAAGGCAAUCCCCUGGACCUGUACUGACGCUCAUGCACGAAAGCGUGGGGAGCAAACAGGAUUAGAUACCCUGGUAGUCCACGCCCUAAACGAUGUCGACUGGUUGUUGGGUCUUUACUGACUCAGUAACGAAGCUAACGCGUGAAGUUGACCGCCUGGGGAGUACGGCGCAAGGUUG
rnacentral:rRNA from 1 species